rnacentral:snRNA from 1 species
AGCGUCCUCAGCGACGGACCGG